rnacentral:rRNA from 1 species
AGUGGGGAAUCUUCCGCAAUGGACGAAAGUCUGACGGAGCGACGCCGCGUGAGUGAUGAAGGCCCUUGGGUCGUAAAGCUCUGUCAUUGGGGACGAACGGUCACGUCAGGAAAUGGGCGUGAAUUGACGGUACCCAAGAAGGAAGCCACGGCUAACUACGUGCCAGCAGCCGCGGUAAUACGUAGGUGGCGAGCGUUGUCCGGAAUUAUUGGGCGUAAAGCGCGCGCAGGUGGGAUCUUAAGUCUGUUCUGAAAGUUCGGAGCUUAACUCCGUGAUGGGAUGGAAACUGGGAUUCUUGAGUAUCGGAGAGGAAAGCGGAAUUCCCCGUGUAGCGGUGAAAUGCGUAGAUAUGGGGAGGAACACCAGUGGCGAAGGCGGCUUUCUGGACGAUGUCUGACACUGAGGCGCGAAAGCCAGGGGAGCGAACGGGAUUAGAUACCCCGGUAGUCCUGGCCGUAAACGAUGGGUACUAGGUGUGGGGGGUGUCAACU